rnacentral:tRNA from 1 species
GCCGCCGUAGCUCAGUGGUAGAGCAUCGGACUCUUUACUCGAAGGUCGCAGGUUCGGUCCUUGCCGGUGGCA